rnacentral:rRNA from 1 species
CCUACGGGUGGCAGCAGUGAGGAAUAUUGGUCAAUGGGCGCGAGCCUGAACCAGCCAAGUAGCGUGAAGGAUGACUGCCCUACGGGUUGUAAACUUCUUUUAUCAAGGAAUAAAGUGAGGCACGUGUGCCUUUUUGUAUGUACCUUAUGAAUAAGGAUCGGCUAACUCCGUGCCCGCAGCCGCGGUAAUACGGAGGAUCCGGGCGUUAUCCGGAUUUAUUGGGUUUAAAGGGGGCGGAGGUGGGUUGGUAAGUCAGUGGUGAAAGUUUGCGGCUCAACCGUAAAAUUGCAAUUGAUACUGGCAGUCUUGAGUACAGGUGAGGUAGGCGGAAUGCGUGGUGUAGCGGUGAAAUGCUUAGAUAUCACGAAGAACUCCGAUUGCGAAGGCAGCUUACUAAACUGCCACUGACAUUGAUGCGCGAAAGUGUGGGUAUCAAACAGGAUUAGAUACCCGAGUAGUC